ACUUGCAUGUGUUACGUGAUUGACGCGUACCGCUCUCUGUUCUGAUAUAAGCAAAAAAUAUUGAAUGUCAACAACCAUUUUUGUCGGAACAAUGAGAAAAUUCAAUUUAUCUUAUUUAAAUAAUCUUUCAACGAUGUAUUAUUGAUUUAUAUUACUUUCCCAUUUUUCAAGUUAAUUAAACGCCCCGGUGUUGCUAGUUUCUCAGUAAGAAACCUUAUAUUCGUAAUUUGAAAAGUACCUAGAGAAGUACAUAAUGCAUUGCUCUGCAGAUUUGCAAAUCCAAUUUCCAUUCACGGUUGGGAAUCGAAUCUAGACGUCGAUUGCGGCCAGCUGAAUACCUACAAUUUUAAUAAAACAAUCGCUAUAUUGGCUACACAAGCCUGCACUCAGUCUUAAUUUGUUCAAUUCAUUAAUAAAAGCCAUGCCAACAGUUUGAGAGAUUUGCAAGAGUAGUUUUAUUACUUACCAAAUAAAUUGGCUACUGAAUGAA